AGAUGAAGGCCGCAUGCGCCAGGCCGCGCCUGAGAGCGAGGCUGGGGGAGUUCUGUGGCUGAGUGCGCGUGCGUAUGAGCUCAACCUUUCAUAUAAGAUGAUGGAAGGAAAUGAGGAUUCUAUUGAAGACCAUCUCACUGCUUAUGCAAUUCAGCUUAGUAUUCAAGAAUCAAUUGAAGCCAGCCAACCAACAACUUCCCAUUACCAUGAAAGAUUUGUACCACCCAGUGAUCAAAAUAGGAAACUUAUAACAGCCAUAAGACAAGGCCAAGUAUUUGAUCUUCAGAACUAUGUGAAACAUAAGUAUGCUUUGGAUGAAGCUGAUGAAAGAGGUUGGUUUCCACUUCAUGAGGCUGCAGCUCAGCCAAUUCAGCAAAUACUUGAAAUCAUUCUGGAUGCAUCUUAUAAAUCAAUGUGGGAAUACAAAACAUGUGAUGGAGAAACACCGUUAACUUUGGCAGCAAAAGCUGGUUUUGUGGAAAAUGUAAGAACAUUAUUGGAAAAGGGUGUUUGGCCUAAUACCACAAACAAUAAAGGAGAAACUCCUCUUCUCAUUGCUGUGAGACGGGGCUCUUACGAAAUGGUAUUGGCUCUGAUUAAAUACAACUGUCGUAUCCACCAGCCAUGUGUAAAACGCUGGUCAGCAAUGCAUGAAGCUGCAAAACAAGGCUGCAAAGAGAUUGUUUCUCUGCUUCUGAAGAAUGGAGGAAAUGUGCACCUGAAAGAUGGUUAUGGGGUAACGCCAUUAGGAGUUGCUGCUGAAUAUGGACACUGUGAUGUGCUGGAGCAUCUUAUUCAUAAAGGUGGUGAUGUUCAUGCUUUAGCAGAUGAUGGUGCAUCAGUACUGUUUGAAGCAGCUGGAGGAGGUAAUCCAGACUGUAUAGCUCUUCUUUUGGAAUAUGGAGGAAGUGGUAAUGUGCCUAAUAGGGCAGGACAGCUCCCUAUACACAAAGCAGCCUAUGAAGGACAUUAUCUGUCAUUGAAAUAUCUAAUUCCUGUUACAUCCAAGACUGCAAUCCAGAGAAGUGGGUUAAGCCCCAUUCACUCAGCAGCAGAUGGCCAGAAUAUGCAGUGUCUAGAACUCCUCAUUGAAAACGAUUUUGAUGUCAAUACUCUCCUGGCUGAACACAUUUCUGAAAACUACGAUGAUGAAAGGAAAACGGCACUCUAUUUUGCUGUUUCUAACAAUGACAUUCUCUGCACCGAAGUGUUACUCAAAGCUGGUGCAGACCCAAACAAGGAUCCUCUAAAUUGUCUUCUUGUAGCAGUGAGAGCUGGUAACCAUGAAAUCGUACGAUUGCUUCUAUCAUAUGGAGCAAAUGUCAAUUGCUACUUCAUGCUCGUGAAUGACACCCAUUUCCCCAGUGCCAUUCAGUACGCUUUGAAUGAUGAGGUAAUGCUAAGGCUGUUGUUGAAUCAUGGAUAUAAUGCAGAGAGGUGUUUUGAUUGCAUGCAUGGCGACAUCUUCGGAAGUUCUUUUGUGUGGUCACUUCCAGAAGAGGAGGUAUUACCAGGAUGGACAUCUUGUGUAAUAAAAGAUACUCCAUUCUGUGCCUUUAUUACAGUUCCUUGGUUGAAACAUUUAGUUGGACAUGUGAUUCGCAUUUUGAUAGACUAUAUGGAUUAUGUUCCUUUGUGCUCAAAACUAAAGUGUGUCCUAGAAGCACAGAAAGAAUGGCCAGAGAUACAUCAGAUAUUAGAGAAUCCUCGCCCAUUAAAACAUUUGUGCCGCCUGAAAAUACGUCAACUGAUGGGACUAAGGAGACUACGGAGACAAGCAUCAAUGGCGAAGCUUCCUCUUCCACCAGUUCUAAAGGACUAUAUCCUAUAUAAAGAAUAUGAUCUUUAUGGAAAGGGGCUAAAUUUAGCCUAGAUUUAAAACAGCCAUUUAAAACUUGUAAAUUAAUUCUUUAGAUUUUUUUGCUAGAUUGAGAAUUAUUUAGUAUUGUUAUAUGUACUCAAAACAUUUGAUAUUUGCUAUAAAUAGGCCUUUUAUGGGAACCUUUUAAAAAAAUGUGGUCUGUAAAACUCAAUUUGUUUUGUCUGUUUUUACUUAACAUUGUGUCUUGAUAGUCUAAGAGCAUGGAGAAGGAGAUGAUAGUCAUUGUGCAACCCAAAACCUCCAGGACUGGAUUUUAGAUGUAAAGAAGUCAAACACAGCAAUCAUCCUUUAAAUCAUACUGUAAAGCUUCAGGGGAAAGAUAUUAUGGCUUAGCCUUCUAUGGCUUUGGUAUUCUUUGGCAACAAUUGUGCAUGUCAGUGAAGUUCACUGUUAAGUCUGACAGCUACCCAAAAUAUUGCAAGCCCAGAGUUGUGCCUUUUGCUCAAAAGCCUCUGGUAGAAAUCGAUUUGGACUGUUUAGUGAACAUUGGAGUCUUGUCACCAGUUUCACACAGUGAGUGGGCUACACCCAUCAUACCAAUGAUCAAAAAGGAUGGCUCAGUCUGAAUUUGUGGUGAUUUCAAAGUGACAUUGAAUCCAGUUUUAUGUGCAAACCAGGUUGACCACUACCUUGUAUUGAAGAUUUGUUUGCUAAUCUUAGUGGUGGACAGUGUUUCAAUAAAUUGGAUUUGCUCAAUGCAUAUCUACAAAUGGAGAUUGAUCUGGCAUCUCAUAAAUAUAUCUCAAUCAACAUGCAAAAAGGCUUAUUUUGUUACAACAGUUUGCCUUUUGAUACCCCGUCGGCACCUGCCCUGUUCCAGAAAGCCAUGGAUGAGAUUGUGAAGGGACUGAAUGGAGUUCAAAGUGCUAUUUGGAUGACAUCCUUGUUACAGGAAAGGAUCAAGAGGAUCAUUGUCAGAAUUUGGAUGCUGUCUUGUAAGGUUUGGAAGACCAUGGACUGAGAAUGCAUCCGAAGAAGUGGGCUGUAGUCCACGAAAGCUUAUGCUCUAAUAAAUUUGUUAGUCUCUAAGGUGCCACAAGUACUCCUGUUCUUCUUUUUGAGAAUACAUCGAGACAACUGUGAGUUUUUCACACCUUCACUUGGAUACUUUGGACAUAUAAUUGAUGUCAAAGGCUUAAGGAAAUUGCCAGAAAAAGAGAAGGCAGUUUCUUCAAGCGCCCCUGCCAGAGAAUGUGUCAUGGUUACACUCAUUCUUAGGACUACUUAACUCUUAUGGUAAAUGUCUGACUAAUCUGGCAACAGUAUUGGCCUUACAUGACCUGUUACAAGCAAAGAAAAAAUGGAAAUGGACUGAAGAGUGUGAGCAUGCAUUUAAAUUAGCUAAGAAAUUGUUGAUGUGAGCGAAAGUUCUUAUGGACUUUGAUGUUUUGUAGCCACUGCUACUGGCUUGUGAUGCUUCACAGUAUGAAGUGGGUGUAAUUCUUUCCCACUUUCUUCCUGAUGGCAUGGAGAAACCAAUUGCCUUCACUUCACAAACAACUCAUUACACCUGAGAAGAAAUAUGUGUAAAUAGAGCGAGAAUUUCUCAGCAUUAUCUUCAGAAUUCAGAAGUUCCAUGCCUAUCUGUAUGAUAGACAUUUUACCUUGCUGAUGGAUCAAUGGCCGUUACUUUCAAUUUUUGGAUGGAAACAUAGAAUUCUGUCAUUAGCUGCUGCUCAUAUGCAACAAUGGGCAUUGCUACUUUCAGCUCUUUCCUAUACUCUUCAAUUCAGUAAAGGAACUCAGCAUGGCAAUGCUGAUGGGCUGUGAUGACUGCCAUGCCUGCAUUGCCAUCAACUCAAAGAAACUUCAGACGAAGUGUUUUAUCUCAAUUUGAUGGAUAGGUUACCCAUCAUUAGCACAGAUAUCAACAAAGAAACCACUAAGGAUGAUAUGCCUUCUCUUGUGAAGGAAGUGGUACUACAAGGUAGUGUUGGAUCAAAAAAAUUCCCAGUGUGCACAAUUCUUGUCACAUCAAUGUGAAUUGUCUGUGAAUCACGGUUGCAUAUAAUGAAGAGUGCAAGUGAUCAUUCCAAGAUCACUCCAAUCUCAGGUUUUGGAAGCUCUUCAAAAGAACAUUUUGGCAUUGUGUGGAUAAAGGUCAUAGCCCGGAGUCAUGUCUAUGGUCGGGGAUUGACAAAGAUAUUGAGAGAAAGGCAAAGUGCUGUAUUAUGUGUCAACAAAUUCAACAUAAUCGUGGACCAUCUUAUCUACGCCCUUGGUCAUGGCCUCAGAUUCCUUGGACAUGUAUUCACAUGGACUUUGCCAGACCUUUGAAAGGUUAUAUGGUUCGGGGUUGUAGUCAACACCUAUUUGAAAUGGCCAGAAAUUUUCAGGAUGACUUCUACUACAGUUACCAAGACCAUUAGACAUAUUCGUACCUUGUUUAGCUAAUUUGGUUUACUGUUACAGUUGGUGAGUAACAAUGGACCUCAAUUCUGUUCUGAAAAAUUUCAAGGUUCCUAGCUUCAAAUGAAAUUCAGCACAAACAUUCUGUUCCAUACCACUCAGCUAAAAAUGGACUAGCAGAACAUUUAGCAUUGUACAAACACUUAAGCAUGCCUUAAGAGCCAACUAGUUACUAGUCUAUUUUGAGUCAUCAACAGAAACUAGACAGAAACAGAAAUUUGUUUUGCUUUUUGCAGGAACACAACACAUGUUACUACCCAGGAGUCACCUGCAACUCUUUUCUUGAAGCAGUCUUUGCAUACCUGUUGGGACCUGUUCCGUCCUGAUGUUGUCUCACAUAUAACCAAAUCCCAAGUUAUGCAAACUAAUUGAUGACGUGAGACUCAUCAUUGUGCUUUUCAAGUAGGAUAUUUAAUGUAGACUCGCAACUAUGACCGUGGAGUGAAAUGGGUACUUGGAGAACUUGUAAAAUGCACAGGACCUCUUUUGUUUGUGGUAAAACUAUCUGAUAGUAUUUUAUGGAAAUACAUAUGGACCAGUUGUAAUCUUGACAAGUACCAGAGUCCAGGGAUGUUCCAGUAGGACUUUCUGUUCCUCAGAUCAAACCUCCUUCUGUUAAAACCUCCUAAUAUUGAUGACUUGGUGAAAGAAACGUUGGUAUUCGAUCCAAUUGAUUUCUUACCCCAACUGUUCCUGUUCUUCAGGGAACUGCCGCACCACCAUUACCAUGUUAUCCCAAGAGAGUGAGAAAACCAGUUGUGUGCCUGAAUUUAUAUGUUGUUCAGUUAGUGAGUUGCUAUUCCAGGGCAGAAUAAUCCUUUGCAAUUUACGAGUCUGCAGUAGACCACCCACAACUUUUGUUAGGUUAUAUAGUUUUUGUUAGCCAUGUAAAUGACAAUGUAUAUAUAUUUGGAAAGCUUUUUUAAAGUAGGGUGGAGGAAUGUGAUGUCCUAUCCUUUUAAAUGUUUCAGAACUCACCCUUCCUCAGUACAAAGCCUCACUGUCAUGUUGGUUUCAGUUUUACUGCCAGAAGAACAAUAAUCUUUCCACAGCAGACAGCUGUGUUUCCAUUAGUUCCCUCUGUCUAUAUCCUUCUCUGCUGGGUCCAAGUAUAACAAAACCAUUUGGAACAUCGUCCCAAGAAUUAUGGUGUAUUCUUCAACAUUGACAAUUUUUAAAUAAGGUUGAACUUUUUUUCUAAAACAGAUACUGUUGUUCAAACAGCAGUCAAAUCAGGGAAGUUCUAUGGCCUGUGUUCUGUAGGAGGUCAGACUAGAUGAUGGACAGUUAAGUAGAGAAUAGCUUUUUAGCACCUGGCUGACUAGAUGAUCAUAGUAGCUCCUUCUGGUUUUAUAAUCUAUGAAUUGUUGGAGCCCAAGCUCCUAAACUUCUAGGCUACCCUGCAGAGCUGAGAGAGAGCCUGGAAGUGCCAGGUCCCAAUCUCCUUGCUCAACCAGGGCUUUCAGGCUCCUAGUUCCCCCCCAUAACGUCCUAUACCCAUGUUCGCCACUUUUAUAAGGUUAUGAUAUAUUUGUACAAAGUAUGCCUUGUGAGGUAUCAUUAGAAAACUCAUAAUUUGCUGAAUAUCAUUAUCCAAUUGAAAUUUUUGUAACAUCACUGCAUGUAAGAUUAUGAGAUUUUGCUAUAUGAUUGUUACUGAAAUAUGUUGUAGUUCUGUGUAAUGCACACAAACCAUUUUCUCAGAGACAAAGGUACACUAGCAUGCCAACCAGGUGCUAAAAAGCUAUUCUCUACUUAAUUGUCCAUUCACCAGCACGGGGGAGUGUAAACAAGAAAUGUACAUUGCAUUGCAGGAAUGUUUCAAACCGCAUGUACACAGAGGACUGUUUGUCUACACUCUGGCUGGGGUAAUUCUCAAAGAAAGGAGGAGGGUAUAAAAUAAGAGACAGGGACUUCCACAUCACCUCUCCUCCUUCUGUCUAGGGAACAAGGCUGGGACUGAAGACUAUGCAGGUGUUUCCCUGUGUAUAAUUCUUGAAUGGCUGAGAGAGCAUUCAUGGUCAUGUGGCUGGGAGUGAUUUUACAUGCUAGUGGCUGUAUGUGAGCAGGCCAGAUGUGGCUGUUCUGGCAGCAAAGCAGUAUUAAAGGCACCCCAGGCUAUAGAGUUUAGGGGAUGCCUCUAUUCUAUAGUCCAGCUUGUACCCUAGGGAAUGUCACACACCCCAACCCUCCUGGCUGACAAGGAGCUGAGAAACUGGAAACACUGGGAGCACCAGCUCCCAAGUUCCCAGGCUUGGCACCCUGGAUUUCUAGUGCUUCCAGGGACCACAGCUUUAGGGCAGCCAGCUAGUGGACUAUCUCAGAUAGGGAACCCUAGUGUUUCCAGUAUCAGAGGGGUAGCCAUGUUAGUCUGAAUCUGUAAAAAGCAACAGAGGGUCCUGUGGCACCUUUAAGACUAACAGUUAGUCUUAAAGGUGCCACAGGACCCUCUGUUGCUAGUGUUUCCAGGUCAAUUAAAUUUGUGACUGUACUCCUUGGGGGGGGGGGGGAAUGUAUGUCUCCUGCUCUCUUUUAUCUGCAUUCUGCAUAUAUUUCAUGUUAUAGCAGUCUUGGAUGAUGACCCAGCACAUGUUCGUUUUAAGAACACUUUCACAGCAAAUUUGACAAAGAGGGUACCAAUGUGAGAUUUCUAAAAAUAGCUACAUCACUCAACCCAAGGUUUAAGAAUCUGAAAUGUCAUCCAAAAUCUGAGAGGGAGGAGGUAUGGAGCAUGCUUUUAGAAGUCUUAAAAGAGCAACACUCUAAUGCGGAAACUACAGAACCCAAACCACCAAAAAAGAAAAUCAACCUUCUGCUGGUGACAUCUAACUCAGAUGAUGAAAAUGAACAUGUGUCAGUCUGCACGGCUUUGGAUCGUUAUCAAGCAGAACCCAUCAUCAGCAUGGAAGCAUGUCCUCUGGAAUGGUGGUUGAAGCAUGAAGGGACAUAUGAAUCUUUAGUGCAUCUGGCACGUAAAUAUCUUGCAACGCCAGCUACAACCGUGCCAUGCAAAUGCCUGUUCUGAUUUUCAGGUGGUAUUGUAAACAAGAAGCAGGCAGCAUUAUUUCCUGCAAAUUAUAAGCAACCUUGUUUGUCUGAGUGAUUGGCUGAACAAGAAGUAGGACUGAGUGGACUUCUAAAAUUUUACAUUGUUUUAUUUUUGAAUGCAGUUGUUUUUGUACAUAACUCUACAAUUGUAAAUUCAACUUUCAUGAUAAAGAGAUUUCACUACACUACUUCUAUGAGGUGAAUUGAAAAAUACAACUUUUUGUUUUUUUACAGUGCAAAUAUUUGCAAUAAAAAUAAA